AUUUCUUAGCUUCCUUUAAAGCAUGUAUCAUGUUAUAUGUGGUAAAUAUUAAUCAAAUUAACUAUCUGUUACAUGCAGCAUAACUAGGUCUUAGCAAUACUUUAUAUAUGUAAGUGUAUUGCAGGUAAUCUUAGACAGCAUUCCCACGAGGAUGUUAUCUAACUUAUUGUGUAGGUAAACCUAAUGUGUACAUCUACUUCUUUAAACUAAUGCGCCAAACUUUGCAUGUAUGAAUGAAUGUAUGUAUGAUGGGAUGGCUUAUUAGAACAGAUAUUUUAUGUACAGUAGAUUGAUAAUGUACAGAUGUAGAAUGUUAUAUAUUAUUGGAUUUGUAUAUGUUUAUGUUCAGGUGUGGCAAACAUAGUUCCUGACGUUUGUGACGGUAACGGGCACAGUGCCAUACACUCGGGCCUUCUUCAGUUAUUGCCAUUAAACUGACAUCUAC